rnacentral:sRNA from 1 species
GCCGGGUGCAGUGGCGCAUGCCUAUAAUCCCAGCAGCUCAGGAGGCUGAGGCAUGAGGAUCUCAAGUUCAAAGACAGUCUCAGAAAAAGCGAGGUGCUAAGCAACUCAGUGAGACCCUGUCUCUA